GAUUCUUACUUCUCAGCUUGCUGUUGAAUAAUGGAUAUAACCACUUUGAAUCGAGGGCAACUCACACUAAUGGGAUCUGCAUUCUGUACGAUGCUUACAAUGCAUUUUACAAUGCAGCUCCUAUCUCAGCAUCUUUUUUACUGGAAAAACCCAAAGGAACAGAAGGCCAUAAUAAUUAUUAUCCUUAUGGCUCCAAUAUAUGCCAUUGACUCAUUUGUGGGUUUGUUGGAUGUUCAGGGGAGUAAGGCAUUCUUCAUGUUUUUGGACUCCGUUAAGGAAUGUUAUGAGGCUUUGGUGAUUGCCAAGUUCCUGGCUUUGAUGUACAGUUACCUGAAUAUAUCCAUCAGUAGAAAUAUUGUGCCAGAUGGAAUAAAAGGAAGAGAAAUUCACCAUUCUUUCCCAAUGACACUUUUCCAGCCUCGCACUGUCCGGCUGGACCACCAUACCCUGAGGCUCCUCAAAUAUUGGACAUGGCAAUUUGUUAUCAUUCGCCCAAUAUGCUCGAUUUUGAUGAUAACACUGCAAAUUCUUGGGAUUUAUCCCUCUUGGUUGAGUUGGACAUUCACCAUUAUCCUCAACAUUUCUGUUUCUCUGGCACUGUAUUCUCUAGUAGUGUUUUACCAUGUGUUUGCAAAGGAGUUGGCACCACACAAUCCACUUGCCAAGUUCAUGUGCAUCAAGGGGAUUGUCUUCUUUUGCUUUUGGCAGGGAUUGGUGCUUGACAUACUAGUUGCCGUGGGUGUAAUUCGAUCUCAUCAUUUCUGGUUGGAUGUGGACCACAUUGAGGAAGCUCUUCAGAAUGUCUUGGUAUGUUUGGAGAUGGUUGUAUUCUCUGUUCUCCAACAGUAUGCAUACCAUGUCGCGCCUUAUAGUGGAGACGUGGAAACAAAGAUGAAACUAAAAAAAAAA
rnacentral:misc_RNA from 1 species